AAAAGACAAUGAGAAGCAAAAAAAUCAGAAAGGGGCGCACUGGGGGUUGAAUCCCUGAUCCUGAGGUCAUGGGGGUAACCCCCAUCCACUUGGACAAGCGUCUUGUGGUGUUUAGAAGAUCUUCCUCAAAAUAAAAUAAUACAACAAAUAAUGAAAUGGGACACGGGCGCGCAAGCUGACCAAUUAGAAUAAGCCAACGAAUAUAUUCAAAUUCAAAAACACGUGCAGACUUCAUCUUCUUCCUCGAGACACCUCAGAAUCAAAACUCCAAAACAUGAGUUUUUAUGUGGAUUCAAGUAUGGAAUCAAC
rnacentral:lncRNA from 1 species